rnacentral:rRNA from 1 species
AACGAACGCUGGCGGCAUGCCUAACACAUGCAAGUCGAACGAGACCUUCGGGUCUAGUGGCGCACGGGUGCGUAACGCGUGGGAACCUGCACUUAGGUUCGGAAUAACUCCCCUAAAGGGGUGCUAAUACCGGAUAAUGUCUUCGGACCAAAGAUUUAUCGCCUUUGGAUGGGCCCGCGUUGGAUUAGCUAGUUGGUAGGGUAAAAGCCUACCAAGGCGACGCUCCAUAGCUGGUCAGAGAGGAUGAUCAGCCACACUGGGACUGAGACACGGCCCAGACUCCUACGGGAGGCAGCAGUGGGGAAUAUUGGACAAUGGGCGAAAGCCUGAUCCAGCAAUGCCGCGUGAGUGAUGAAGGCCUUAGGGUUGUAAAGCUCUUUUACCCGGGAUGAUAAUGACAGUACCGGGAGAAUAAGCUCCGGCUAACUCCGUG